ACCAGACUCCUACGGGAGGCAGCAGUGGGGAAUAUUGCACAAUGGGGGGAACCCUGAUGCAGCAACGCCGCGUGGGUGAAGAAGUACUUCGGUAUGUAAAGCCCUGUCAGCAGGGAAGAAAAUGACGGUACCUGACCAAGAAGCCCCGGCUAACUACGUGCCAGCAGCCGCGGUAAUACGUAGGGGGCAAGCGUUAUCCGGAUUUACUGGGUGUAAAGGGAGCGUAGACGGCAUGGCAAGUCAGAUGUGAAAGCCCGGGGCUCAACCCCGGGACUGCAUUUGAAACUGUCGGGCUGGAGUGCAGGAGAGGUAAGUGGAAUUCCUAGUGUAGCGGUGAAAUGCGUAGAUAUUAGGAAGAACACCAGUGGCGAAGGCGGCGUUCUGGACUGAAACUGACGCUGAGGCACGAAAGCGUGGGGAGCGAACAGGAUUAGAUACCCUAGUAGGU
rnacentral:rRNA from 1 species